CAGUCGCCACGGUAAUACGGGGGGGGCAAGUGUUAUUCGGAAUGACUGGGCGUAAAGGGCACGUAGGCGGUGAAAAGGGUGGAAAGUGAAAGUCGCCAAAACACUGGCGGGGUGCUUUCUUGACCAUUUCACUUGAGUGAGAUAGGGGAGAGUGGAAUUUCGUGUGGAGGGAUCAAAUCCUAAGAUAUACGAAGGAACGCCAACCGCGAAGGCAGCUCUCUGGGUCCCCACUGACGCUGGGGUGCGAAAGCAUGGGGAGCAAACAGGAUCAGAUACCCGCGUAGUCCCUGUCUCUUAUACA
rnacentral:rRNA from 1 species